UACGGAGGAUCCAAGCGUUAUCCGGAUUUAUGGGGGUUAAAGGGUGCGUAGGUGGCCUGUUAAGUCAGGGGUGAAAGACGGUAGCUCAACUAUCGCAGUGCCCUUGAUACUGAUGGGCUUGAAUGAACUAGAGGUAGGCGGAAUGUGACAAGUAGCGGUGAAAUGCAUAGAUAUGUCACAGAACACCAAUUGCGAAGGCAGCUUACUAUGGUUUUAUUGACACUGAGGCACGAAAGCGUGGGGAGCGAACAGG
rnacentral:rRNA from 1 species